rnacentral:lncRNA from 1 species
UAUUAAACCUUCCAAACUAACUCCAUUUCUUCAUUUAUCAACUAAACAAAAUCUCUUUCCUUAUUACAUUUAAAAGCUGUUGUACUUUUGAAUUGUUUUCCUACAGUGUUUCUCUGCUUCUCUUCUAUGUUCAUCUUGGUAUGAAUUUUUGCCUCUCUUUUUCUGUCUUGGUUUACUUACCCUGUCACUGUUUCUCCCUCCGUCUCUCUGAUUUUGCUGAUUGAUAAGUUGGUAUGAGAUUUGUCAGCAUCUUCUCCAUAUAUAAUUCCUUUAUUUUUUGUUUUAUCUCCUCAUCUUAUUCUUAUUAAUUUUUUUCUAAUUAAUUAGAUUCCACGGGUUUCAUCUGCAUUUCUUGAUUUGGGUAAAACUGUAUUGGGUUUUGGUUAUUUUUUGAACGGUUAAUUUUCUUUUAAUGUUAACGAUUUAACAUCGAGAUUUAAAAUAGAUACUUCUAUGUUGCAUGGUUACAGGGAAAAUUUGUAUGAAAUUGAAGGAGAAUUUAGAACAGCAAUACAAACGGUGGUUCUAAUCGAGACCAUGAAGCGAAAAAGGAGCUUAUGGCUAAAAAAAUUGUAAGAAGGCUUGAAAUGUUACUAUUCCUUGGACGGAAAUAAUGUAUUGUCUUUAAGGAGGUAAUUAUGCCGCUUUUAAUAUUUAUUGUCUAACUUAUGUGGUUGGUGCAUUUCUUUGGAGGAACAAAAAUUUUUAAAGAGCCAUUUUCAUUCAAUAACUAUUGUUACUGCAAUUACUUUGAUUUGAGUCUUCAAUUCAGAUGAAUUGUACAUGAACGACAUGUCUUUUAAUUUGUAGCACCAAGUUGAUAGAUUUCAUAAGGCGUCUGCUUGUGUUUGUUAGGCUGUUAAAAAUGAUAUAUAUAUAUAUAUAUAACAAAUUUGUGGAUGUGCACUGUAACAGCCAGUUGAUGCAUAGAGACUAAGAGGAUCUUUUGAUAAGUUAGAGAUUAAGAGGAUUAAGAAGAUAAAAAAGGAGAAAAAAAUAAGAGAAAGGGAUCACUAGAUAAUACAAAUUUAUUUUAUUAACCAAAACCCGCUGAAGAAACUUGAUGAUUAAAUAUUCCUUUUUUUUUUCCAAUAUCUAAUGGUGCAUGGUAUCCAUAUGGAGCAAUAGAAACAUUCACGGAGAAGGUAUAUACUGUAGUUGUGCCAAAGGGAGUAUGUGGCUAUAAAAGGCAUUGAAAACAUCGGUGCCAGAUACCCUGUUACUACAUCAGUUAAUGAAACAUUAUGUUAACUAUGAGGUAGAAUUAUAGAACUGUGGAUUGCAAAAUGGUUUCUUAGAGGCCAUUAAGAGAAUGUCAAUUGUUUUUUUUCAAAAUUACUGUAUUUUCAACAAAAGCAACAAGAUAUAGAGCCCAUUUGGAUUGGCUUAAAAAAAUUGCUUUUAAGUAUAAGUACUUAAAAGCAGCUUUUAAGUGCUGGAGCUUGUUAUAUAAAUAAGUAGUUACAUGUUUAGAUAAAAGUGCUGAAGCUUAAAAAAAACUGUUGAAGUGUUUGGCAAACAAGUGGUAGUAAGCACUUUUUCUUAUUAAAAAGAUAAAAAUAUAAAACUUUGAUAUUAUAAAAAUGAAGAUGAAGAGGAAAGAAGAGGGUAAUUUUGGUGUUAUACAAACUUAUAAGGGACAUGAGGGUAAUUUCGCUGGUUAAACGAAAAUGGCUUUUAAGCCAAGAAUAAAAAAAGUUGGGGAAAACCACCUUUUUGCUUUUAGCUUUUUUAAGCAUUUUUUUGCUUUUAAGUAGUUUUUUUUUAUCCAAACACUCCCUCCCAAAAAAAAAGUGCUUAACCAUCCAAACACCAUCAUAGUCAACCCCUAGAAGGAAAAUAAUGACCUUAGACGUACUUCAACAGAGUUACAACUUAAAUGAUUUCAAAAUACUUUUAUUGAUUGAUUCUUUUUACAGUUGAUCUUCAUAGUGUGUGCUGCUUUAGAAGAGAACAAUUCCUUCUUGAUUUGAGAUAUACUUUACUACAUCUUUGGCUGCAAGUUCAUCAGAAAAUAGGGAAAAUUUAGAUAUUAUGCUUGCUGGUUUAUCUUGUGCUUCACCUCCUUAAUAUCAUUCUGCUUUGGUUUUCCAUCUUUAUCGAAGUUACCUGGACUUGAAAUCCUUUGUCAUUGCUGCUAGUUUAAAGUCCGCUGCAUUUCUUGGAUCCAAUGUUCAUCUCAAUAUUGAACUAUGCUGCAAUACUUUUGCCCCUCUCCUCCCAUAAAAAUGGGAGAGAAGAAAAGGACUAUUCUUAUAUAGAAAGUAGGAGGGAAACAAAAUGAAAAAUAUGUGUCUAAAAGUUGAGAUAAUUGAUUGUAGUAAAAUGUUGUAAAUAACUCUCUUCCUUGCAAGUGCCGGUUAAUCAGGGAAUCAAUAUGAUAUACUAAAAGCUGAAUCGAGAAAUUAUCCUUUUACUUCAUUCAUAAGAUGGUUUGAUAUUUGUUUUCAGGAAUCCUCACUGACAUCUCUUGCUCGUGGAUGGCAAGUGAUAAUGGAAGAGCUUUUUUUAAGCAUUGGCAAUUUUAAUACAUCAACCUAAAAGAAGAAGAAAUUCCACGGGUUUCAUCUGCAUUUCUUGAUUAGUGAUAAUGGAAGAGCUUUUUUUAAGCAUUGGCAAUUUUAAUACAUCAACCUAAAAGAAGAAGAAACAGAGAAGAAAAAAUAUUGACAAUACGGAGUUGGACAUGUGGGAACAUGUAAAUAGGUACGUUGAUAAUAUUCUUUAUUUCUGUUUGGUGUUAUAACUCAUAGUGGUUUUCCUGUAAAUAUGUUUGAUUCAUACUGAAAUUUUGUAACUUGUGCACCAUGAUUUUACUAUUCCCUGCAUCCUAUUUCAUGUUUCAGACUUCCUUGCAAACAUAUAGAAUAUUAUAUUUUUAUUGGAAUAUUCGUUUGUAUUAGACAGCAUUUUUCAGGCAUUCCAUCUCUAUGAGUAAUGAGAGAAGUUUUGUAGAGGGACUGAAAGAACUAAACAAAAGUACUCUUCCAUUAGCGCUAAUACACUACAAGGUGUUCUGCCCAUGUUUGUUCACUCCAAGGACUAUAUAUAUAUAUAUGCGCGCGCGUGUAUUUGUCAAGAAAGUUUAUAAAAAACUCAACCAAGGAGGCAUUUUACAACUGAAACACUGCAUAUAAAUCUGAAGGAGAUUUGAGAUAUGGACAAUUGAUGCUCCUUAUAUAACUUAUAAACCUUCCUCAUUUAAAACUCAUAAAUUCAAUUUCUUUUACAUCCAAAAUUAAUUUUCUUGAACGUUGGUACUAUAUAGGCGAUUUUACUAGAGUGAGUUUCUGUUUGGGAACUUGAGGAAACUUAAUAUCGAGAUAAAUGUGGAAACAAAUGAUUCAUUGUCAUAAAGACAGAUAUAUUAUGCAUUAUAAUACGUGUCUCCUUAUUCAUUUAUACUGAUUCACCUUUUCAGAAGCUAGAACCUGCACCAAAUCUUAGAUAGAUCAGUUUUCAGUAGUCUCAUCCUUAGUUUAUCCUUCUCUGUGGGCUUCACCGGUCUAAUAGUCAAAUUUCUAAAUUUGAGUUUUAAGUUCUCUAUGGUUUGAGGCAUUGAGCAUUACUUUUUCCAGUUCAAGCUUGAUUCUGUUCAACUGUAUAGUUUCAGGCAUACAGAAUGUAUAACUCAAAUAUGAGAAAGGGAUAUCCAUUGAUCCAUUCUAGGGAGGGAAGGAGGGAAUAGUGAAGACGUUCUGAGUUGUUGGAGAGAAAAAGAAGGAUCAAAAUGCAUGAAGUUAAUGAAUGGUGCAAUAGGAUACAGACAUUUACAUAUCACAAGAAAGGGCACAAACAAGUAGCUACAGAGCAGCCUGAAAGAUGAUUCUUUCAUCAGGUGUUGCAGCUCUGUCUUCACCUAUCCCGGGAUAAUGCAAGGGAUCAUAUGUUGAAGUGGACAUUUUGUGCCUCCAAGACGGAGGUAAUGCUCUAUCUCCUUUAUUUUUCUUAUUCUGACUUGCCAAACUUAUAGAGUUUCAUUCUUGGAGAAGACGUGUUCACUGAGUCGUCAGUUUCACGCACAACAAGUAUGGAGAGGGUACAAGGAUGAAUGUUUCACCUUAUUCAUCAAGAGUGCCAAUAAUCGUGACACUUAUUGUUUCACCUUCUAAUGUUGUGUAGAUUGAGCCGCGACUCCAUAUGGAUGAAUGUUAUUGCAGGAUUUUACACCUGUAUUAUAUGUCUAUUAACUGUUUUCAAGAGUUGAAAUAUCUCAGAUAAGUUGUGUUACAUUAUCAACCUUUUCAUUGAAUCAACUACAUUAGCAUACCCGUUUAUUGCACUUAAAGAUGUAACCAUCUCCAACAUCCAACCUUCAAUUGUGUGUGUGUGUGGGGGGGGG